GACGAACGCUGGCGGCGUGGAUUAGGCAUGCAAGUCGAACGGUAUCAUCCUUUCGGGGGUGAGAGAGUGGCGAACUGGUGAGUAACACGUAGGUUAUCUACCCUCAAGACGGGGACAACCCAGGGAAACUUGGGCUAAUACCGGAUGUGAGCAACUUUUAGUUGUUUGAAAGGUGGCGUAAGCUGUCGCUUGGGGAUGAGCCUGCGUCCUAUUAGUUAGUUGGUGAGGUAACGGCUCACCUAGGCAAUGAUAGGUAGGCGGCCUUAACGGGUGGUCGCCCACACUGGGAUUGAGAUACGGCCCAGACUCCUACGGGAGGCAGCAGUCGAGAAUAGUCUACAAUGGUCGGAAGACUGAUAGUGCGACGCCGCGUGAACGAUGAAUCCCUUCGGGGUGUAAAGUUCUUUUAUAUGUGAGCAGUGCUUCUUAUAUUAACAGUAUGGGGAGAGAGAUAUUAGCAUAUGAAUAAGCAACGGCUAACUCCGUGCCAGCAGCCGCGGUAAAACUCGU
rnacentral:rRNA from 1 species